GCCCUCGUCGAUCAUGGUGAUCACCUGCCUGAAAUAUAGCAACUCGUAGGGUACAGCGGACAAUGAGGGUUCGACUCCCUCCGAGGGCA